rnacentral:rRNA from 1 species
CGUGUAGGCGGUUGAUUAAGUCGAAUGUGAAAGCCCCAGGCUCAACCUGGGAACGGCAUCCGAAACUGGUCGACUUGAGUAUCGGAGGGGAGAGCGGAAUUCCUAGUGGAGCGGUGAAAUGCGUAGAGAUUAGGAAGAACACCAGUGGCGAAGGCGGCUCUCUGGACGAUUACUGACGCUGAGACGCGAAAGUGUGGGUAGCAAACAGGAUUAGAUACCCUGGUAGUCC